rnacentral:ncRNA from 1 species
GAUGUCGGAGAGAACGUAUAAUUACGUCGCCGAAGGAGCAAGCCUUUUUAGGUGAAUCUCUCAGGCAAAAGGACG